rnacentral:rRNA from 4 species
GACUCUCGGCAACGGAUAUCUCGGCUCUUGCAUCGAUGAAGAACGUAGCGAAAUGCGAUACUUGGUGUGAAUUGCAGAAUCCCGUGAACCAUCGAGUCUUUGAACGCAAGUUGCGCCCGAAGCCUUUUUGGCCGAGGGCACGCCUGCCUGGGCGUCACACACAG